AGAGUUUGAUCCUGGCUCAGAACGAACGCUGGCGGCGUGGAUAAGACAUGCAAGUCGAACGCUGAUUUCAGGGUAGCAAUAUCCUGGAGUCGGAGUGGCGCAAGGGUGCGUAACACGUGGGUAAUUUGCCGUGAAGUUGGGGAUAACUCGCUGAAAGGCGAGCUAAUACCGAAUGUGACAGUCGGAAGGCAUCUUCUGAUUUUCAAAGUUGGGGACCGUAAGGCCUGACGCUUCACGAUAAGCCCGCGGCCUAUCAGCUAGUUGGUGAGGUAACGGCUCACCAAGGCUAAGACGGGUAGCUGGUCUGAGAGGACGACCAGUCACACUGGAACUGAGACACGGUCCAGACACCUACGGGUGGCAGCAGUCGAGAAUUUUUCUCAAUGGGCGAAAGCCUGAAGGAGCGACGCCGCGUGGGGGAUGAAGGGCUUCGGCCCGUAAACCCCUGUCAUUUGCGAACAAACCUUACGAUCUAAUAAGUCGUGAGCUGAUUGUAGCGAAAGAGGAAGGGACGGCUAACUCUGUGCCAGCAGCCGCGGUAAUACAGAGGUCCCAAGCGUUGUUCGGAUUCACUGGGCGUAAAGGGUGCGUAGGUGGCGAGGUAAGUUUGAUGUGAAAUCUCCGGGCUUAACCCGGAAACUGCAUUGAAUACUAUUUUGCUGGAGGGUUGGAGGGGGGACUGGAAUUCUCGGUGUAGCAGUGAAAUGCGUAGAUAUCGAGAGGAACACCAGUGGCGAAGGCGAGUCCCUGGACAACUCCUGACACUGAGGCACGAAAGCUAGGGGAGCAAACAGGAUUAGAUACCCUAGUAGUCC
rnacentral:rRNA from 1 species